UGUCUGAUUUUAAUAGCACAUUUCUUUUACAUAAACUGUGACGACAACUUGCAUAAACUAUUUAGUACUGAAGAAGUUCUUCAAAUGUUAAUUUUAAUGUAAAAGUUGGUAAAAAGAAAAAAAGAUGUUUUAAAAAUAGAUACUUAAAAUAUAUCCACUUGCAUCUGCAUAAAUUAGUGAUAAUGUUUUAAUACUUGUGCUCUUUUGUCAAUGUAAUGAACCGUAACCUUGGGCAAAAGCAAAAAGAAUUAAAUCUUAAAAUAUAAAUAUGGAUGUAGCUAGUCCUCUGUGUUUACCAACAAAAUCUCAGUUAUCCAAGUAAAAACAGCCCUUAUUGACCCAUUAUUGUUGUUCACUAUCUUAAAAUGCCCAUUUUUAGGUUUUAAGUUGCAUGUUUCCUUUCCCUGCAGUGUUUAAAUUGCAUGCAAAAGUUAUGUCAACAUUUCUUUCAAAUUGUGUGUAGCUGUGAGGAAACUUACCCUUUUUCUCCAUUUGCAGGUGGCGCUCUGCUGUAUGGACCAAAAUGGCACUUGAUGAGAACAGGUUGGGUAUUCUUUAAAUCCAAGAAGAUGACUUGGAAACAACUUUUAUAAUAGAACAUAUUCUUACCAAGUCUUUGGAGAACUUCCAAUCCUUUUCAACUAUAUUAGUACUGGACUGGGACUUCAGAGGCUUAUUUUAGAGAUAAUGUGGUCCUUUCCAUUUAGCGUAUUUAGCCAAGUCUUGGCUGUAAAUUUGGUAGUGCUGGAGAGCAUCUAGAAUUUUGGCUGAUACAACAUAACAGGUUGCAGCCUGACUGACAUAGUAUGCCUGUGUAAGUGUAUUUCAACCAGAUCUGAAUAAUUUGGUGACUUGUUGCUCCAUAACUGCUCUGGGCACUUCCCUAUUUUAAGGGAACGCACUGGCUUUCCAGAAAUUACUCUUUUGUAUGGUUGCUGCUGGAACAAAGGAGUGUGAUUUGGAUCCAUCUUCAUUUGCUAUGAUAGUACAGUACAUUUGAAUAAAGGUACUUUAAAAAAAAUAUGAUUUCAUGUUAAUCAUUUAAUUAGUUGGAGCAACCGUAUGAACAUUUGGCUGAACUUUAUUUUCAAAUCAGCCUUCAUAUGGAUCGGGCAAAAUCAUCUAUCACAGUAUUGAAAGAAAUAAUAAGAAAAAUUGAAACGCUUUUGAUUGUUACCAGGUAGGUAACAGAAAGGUUUGGAUUUAAUUGUAAUUGCACCCUUCCUGUUUGAAA